GGAAUGCGGCAGCUACCAUGCAGUCGAGCGGGGUGAUGUAGCUUGCGUACCUAACCUAGCGGCGGACGGGUGAGUAAUGCUUAGGAAUCUGCCUAUUAGUGGGGGACAACAUUCCGAAAGGAAUGCUAAUACCGCAUACGCCCUACGGGGGAAAGCAGGGGAUCUUCGGACCUUGCGCUAAUAGAUGAGCCUAAGUCAGAUUAGCUAGUUGGUGGGGUAAAGGCCUACCAAGGCGACGAUCUGUAGCGGGUCUGAGAGGAUGAUCCGCCACACUGGGACUGAGACACGGCCCAGACUCCUACGGGAGGCAGCAGUGGGGAAUAUUGGACAAUGGGCGCAAGCCUGAUCCAGCCAUGCCGCGUGUGUGAAGAAGGCCUUUUGGUUGUAAAGCACUUUAAGCGAGGAGGAGGCUACUGGUAUUAAUACUACCGGAUAGUGGACGUUACUCGCAGAAUAAGCACCGGCUAACUCUGUGCCAGCAGCCGCGGUAAUACAGAGGGUGCGAGCGUUAAUCGGAUUUACUGGGCGUAAAGCGUGCGUAGGCGGCUUUUUAAGUCGGAUGUGAAAUCCCUGAGCUUAACUUAGGAAUUGCAUUCGAUACUGGGAAGCUAGAGUAUGGGAGAGGAUGGUAGAAUUCCAGGUGUAGCGGUGAAAUGCGUAGAGAUCUGGAGGAAUACCGAUGGCGAAGGCAGCCAUCUGGCCUAAUACUGACGCUGAGGUACGAAAGCAUGGGGAGCAAACAGGAUUAGAUACCCUGGUAGUCCAUGCCGUAACGAUGUCUACUAGCCGUUGGGGCCUUUGAGGCUUUAGUGGCGCAGCUAACGCGAUAAGUAGACCGCCUGGGGAGUACGGUCGCAAGACUAAAACUCAAAUGAAUUGACGGGGGCCCGCACAAGCGGUGGAGCAUGUGGUUUAAUUCGAUGCAACGCGAAGAACCUUACCUGGUCUUGACAUAGUAAGAACUUUCCAGAGAUGGAUUGGUGCCUUCGGGAACUUACAUACAGUGCUGCAUGGCUGUCGUCAGCUCGUGUCGUGAGAUGUUGGGGUAAGUCCCGCAACGAGCGCACCCUUUUUCUUAUUUGCAGCGGGUUAAGGCGGGAACUUUAGGAUACUGCAGUGACAAACUGAGAGCGGGACGACGUCAGUCAUCAUGCCCUUACGACAGCUACACCACGUGCUACAAUGUCGGUACAA
rnacentral:rRNA from 1 species